rnacentral:rRNA from 1 species
GUAAUGUCUGGGAAACUGCCUGAUGGAGGGGGAGUAACUACUGGAAACGGUAGCUAAUACCGCAUAACGUCGCGAGACCAAAGAGGGGGACCGUUCGGGCCUCUUGCCAUCGGAUGUGCCCAGAUGGGAUUAGCUAGUAGGUGGGGUAACGGGCUCACCUAGGCGACGAUCCCUAGCUGGUCUGAGAGGAUGACCAGCCACACUGGAACUGAGACACGGUCCAGACUCCUACGGGAGGCAGCAUG